rnacentral:tRNA from 1 species
GCCAAUUUAGCUCAGGCGGUAGAGCAAUUCACUCGUAAUGAAUAGGUCGGGGGUUCGAUUCCCCCAAUUGGCUCCA